UACGUAGGGUGCGAGCGUUGUCCGGAAUUACUGGGCGUAAAGAGCUUGUAGGUGGUUUGUCGCGUUGUUCGUGAAAUCUCACGGCUUAACUGUGAGCGUGCGGGCGAUACGGGCAGACUAGAGUACUGCAGGGGAGACUGGAAUUCCUGGUGUAGCGGUGGAAUGCGCAGAUAUCAGGAGGAACACCGGUGGCGGAGGCGGGUCUCUGGGCAGUAACUGACGCUGAGAAGCGAAAGCGUGGGGAGCGAACAGG
rnacentral:rRNA from 1 species